ACUCAAAGGAAUUGACGGGGACCCGCACAAGCAGCGGAGCAUGUGGUUUAAUUCGAAGCAACGCGAAGAACCUUACCAGGGCUUGACAUGCCCUUGACCGUCCUAGAGAUAGGAUUUUCCCUUCGGGGACAAGGGACACAGGUGGUGCAUGGUUGUCGUCAGCUCGUGUCGUGAGAUGUUGGGUUAAGUCCCGCAACGAGCGCAACCCUUGCUUCUAGUUGCCAUCAUUAAGUUGGGCACUCUAGAGGGACUGCCGAUGAUAAAUCGGAGGAAGGUGGGGAUGACGUCAAAUCAUCAUGCCCUUUAUGUCCUGGGCUACACACGUGCUACAAUGGUCGGUACAACGAGCAGCUACCUAGUGAUAGGAUGCAAAUCUCUAAAAGCCGAUCCCAGUUCGGAUUGCAGGCUGCAACUCGCCUGCAUGAAGUCGGAGUUGCUAGUAAUCGCGAAUCAGAAUGUCGCGGUGAAUGCGUUCCCGGGUCUUGUACACACCGCCCGU
rnacentral:rRNA from 1 species